rnacentral:rRNA from 1 species
AUGGCGACUCCACGUAUCUCCUGCGCCCCGGAACCCUCUCCUUCCCGGCACAGCAGGAGCAGGAGCAAGGAUGCCGAGGCGGUUAAGGUGAAUGGUGCUUUAGCUUCAAUGACUAAUUUUAUUGCUAAAUAUUUUUCUCACUGGAAGUGUCAAAGAAUACACAACUUGUCGCGAGGAAGAGUAGGAAGAUCAGGCGGAGAGGGUUUCACAUACCUCUUCUACAUUGACAAGUCUUUGCUUUCCAGGAUUGCCAUGGUGAGCUGCUGCUGUAAUGCUUUGAUUUUCUUUUGUUUUGUCACUUUUUAA